UUCGUAGCUUGAUUUUUAAGUCUCUUGGGAAAUCUGCAGGCUUAACCUGCAGGCGUUCAAGAGAUACUGGAAAUCUAGGAACCGGGAGAGGUAAGAGGUACUCCAGGGGUAGAAGUGAAAUUCUGUAAUCCUUGGGGGACCACCGAUGGCGAAGGCAUCUUACCAGAACGGCUUCGACAGUGAGGAACGAAAGCUGGGGGAGCGAACAGGAUUAGAUACCCUGGUAGUCC
rnacentral:rRNA from 1 species